rnacentral:tRNA from 1 species
GCCGUGGUGGUGCAGUGGUCAGCACCCCCGAUCUGGUAACCUACGUUCCCUACAGUUCUCUCGUUACCUACAGUCGUUUCUCAUACACUCUCUUACGGAUUGGGAGGUCGUUGGUUCGAAUCCAACUCACGGUG